GCCAUCAUGGCUCAGUGGUUAGAGCACUAGUCUCGGAAACCAGGGGUCGUGAGUUCAAUCCUUACUGAUGGCU
rnacentral:tRNA from 1 species